rnacentral:rRNA from 1 species
CAAGUCGAGCGGGGAAAGGUAGCUUGCUACCUGACCUAGCGGCGGACGGGUGAGUAAUGCUUAGGAAUCUGCCUAUUAGUGGGGGACAACAUCUCGAAAGGGAUGCUAAUACCGCAUACGUCCUACGGGAGAAAGCAGGGGACCUUCGGGCCUUGCGCUAAUAGAUGAGCCUAAGUCGGAUUAGCUAGUUGGUGGGGUAAAGGCCUACCAAGGCGACGAUCUGUAGCGGGUCUGAGAGGAUGAUCCGCCACACUGGGACUGAGACACGGCCCAGACUCCUACGGGAGGCAGCAGUGGGGAAUAUUGGACAAUGGGGGGAACCCUGAUCCAGCCAUGCCGCGUGUGUGAAGAAGGCCUUUUGGUUGUAAAGCACUUUAAGCGAGGAGGAGGCUACCGAGAUUAAUACUCUUGGAUAGUGGACGUUACUCGCAGAAUAAGCACCGGCUAACUCUGUGCCAGCAGCCGCGGUAAUACAGAGGGUGCAAGCGUUAAUCGGAUUUACUGGGCGUAAAGCGCGCGUAGGUGGCCAAUUAAGUCAAAUGUGAAAUCCCCGAGCUUAACUUGGGAAUUGCAUUCGAUACUGGUUGGCUAGAGUAUGGGAGAGGAUGGUAGAAUUCCAGGUGUAGCGGUGAAAUGCGUAGAGAUCUGGAGGAAUACCGAUGGCGAAGGCAGCCAUCUGGCCUAAUACUGACACUGAGGUGCGAAAGCAUGGGGAGCAAACAGGAUUAGAUACCCUGGUAGUCCAUGCCGUAAACGAUGUCUACUAGCCGUUGGGGCCUUUGAGGCUUUAGUGGCGCAGCUAACGCGAUAAGUAGACCGCCUGGGGAGUACGGUCGCAAGACUAAAACUCAAAUGAAUUGACGGG